UCGCUUCCUGGUAAAUGACGAAGUGACGUUAAAGCAACGUUGAUUAUCUUCUGAUUUCUUUGAAAACAACGUUGAUUCCGUCCUGAUUUCUUUGAAAGCAACGUUGAUUCCGUCUUAUAUCUUUGAAAACAACGUUGAUUCCGUCCUGAUUUCUUUGAAAGCAACGUUGAUUACGUCUUGAUUUUAUUAAAACAACGUCGAUUACGUCUUGAUUUCUUUGAAGCAGCGUUUAAUUAAAGAUAUUCCAACGUUUUAUUUCUCGUCGGUCGCCCCGAAGGCACUCAAAGCGGAGCGGCGACGGUCUCUCGCCAGCGACUCGUCCUGCGGCGCGGACGACGAAUGCUUCGCGAGCGUCACAAGUUUGGUGACUCACGACACUGACGAAGGCAACGUCAACGCUACCGUCACCGAGACGUGCGCCUGCGAACCUCGUCAGCAGGCUUGCUUCAGGCGACCGAAAUGGGUGCGUUUUCACGAGGGGUUUCCGUUGCAGACGUCUGUUGACGUUGGCGAGUGUGCUGGUCCUUGCUCCCUCGAUGGAAAAGACUGUCGGGCAACCCACAUGAGGACGACGGCUAUCGAAGGACCGAAUGGUUCGGAAUGCGUGUCGGUGAUUGAGCAGUGCAGCUGCGUGGGCUCCUGCUUUAGGAUCGCUCAUCUGCAGCACAUUUACAACUUCACCUCCACCGACCCUGAAGCAAACUUCAGCGCUGACGGUAGAAUCGAGGUGGUAGACGUCGGUCGGUGUAGCGGCGAGUGCGAUGCCCUGGACGCGGGGGGCCGCUGCGUGUUCA